CGUCCUACGGGAGGCAGCAGUGGGGAAUAUUGGGCAAUGGGCGCAAGCCUGACCCAGCAACGCCGCGUGAAGGAAGAAGGCUUUCGGCUUGUAAACUUCUUCUCUGCGGGACGACCCAAGUGACGGUACCUGAGGAAUAAGCCACGGCGAACUACGUGCCAGCACACCCCGCCCUCCGCAGGUGGCAAGCGUCACAACGCUUUACUGGGUGUACAUGGCGUGUAGGCGCGAAA
rnacentral:rRNA from 1 species